AUUCUAUAAGUGCUGCUGACAGUGAGAUAGCAUUUAUUUAAAUUUGAUUAGUGUAAGACGAAAAAAAAAGAGAAAUAAAAAAGAUAGAGACGCUGAUAAUUUUUAUACAAAUGAGAAAUCUUUAUAAUAAUAUUUAAAUACUUUAAGUUCACCACAUGUAUUUAUUAGUCGUCGAUAUAAAUCUUCGUGAAAUUAUGCGAUGAUGAACGCUGAAAAUUUUCUAAUGAUGUACGGAGAUCAAAUCCUGCACGAACACAAAGAAGAAUUUCUUCGUUUUCAACAAAUGAAGUUGUCCAAGUAUCGAUGGCACGAUAGCAAGUGUCCUUGGUCGUUUGAUGAAGUCACCGACCGAUCGGAUACAUGUGGUUGACUUAAUAGAAUUAUAACUGAAAAGAAAAUUAAAAAAAUAUUACUAUAAACAUAUUUAAGAAUAUAAUAAUAUAUAAAAUUACUUGCAUUGGUUUUCGUUCUUCUACAAACACAGGCAAGGUUUUUACGAGUAAAAGUUUAAUACCGCUGAGUUUGGAUCAACGGUUUCUUCAUCUUCAUUAUCAAUUACCGUCACCUGACCUGUUGAUGGUGACGGUAGUAUAAUUUCCACAGAUUUUGGUAGAACUAUCGUUCAUGAUUUUUCUCUAGUUCAUGAUCAUGGUUGUUGUUGUGUUGGUGCCGAUAAUUCUUCGAUGAGAUUUAUUCUGUUUUUAAUAUUACUUCUAGUAUAAAACUUUGACCUUUUGCGCCCCUGUUUAACAACACAUAUUUUUCAACACCCAACACGGUAAUUUGUCGAUCUGUCAAAGAAUGAAAAUGUUGCGGGAGAUACACCUUGUUUAUGUUAUCCAGUUUCACCAUUAAUCUUUCGCCGUACUUUGUUGUAUGCCGUCUCAUGUCCGUAAUCAAAUAGAGAUUGUUCUUUUUCAUCGUCGAUAAAUUUAACCAUGCGAAGGCUCCAGUAGAUUAAACUUCUCUAACAUGCUCGACGUUUUGGAUUUAGUCUUCGACUUUUUUCUAAUUGAUGACAGCCGUUUCUUUUGUUGUUGUUGGUUUGGAGUUUCCAUGACACCUCGAUAGCAUGUCCUCUGUCCAUGACCUUGGAAGGUCAUUCUUGUCCUGAAGAAGUGCCGAUCGCCGAUGGUCUUUCAAGGCCACUUCUACAAGUCGUGACCAGCAACGACCAGAGGGUUCUGAAGUUAGAGCGUGGCCCCUCCAGGUAAAGGAAGUAGUCGCAGAUGUAAUCACAGGUGUUUUUGAGGUGUUUUGAAAAAAGGUAAAUUAUUUUCUUUGGCGUGAAAAAAAUUCAGACUGCUUUCGUAGUGAUUCGAACCGGCUACGCCGAGUCGUCGAUUCGUCAAUUCAACACAUGUGAUUUUGAUUACCUAGCGAAUGUGAUUAAUGCUCGUAAAAUUGUGAAGUGUAGAAACCGGGCGGAUGCCACACCAGAAAGCAACAUAAUCUCUUUGAGGGGAUUAUUCUUUAUAGUUAAAAACAAGUACAUAAAUGAUCUUAUAUUAAUUAACAAAUAAACAAACUUAAAAAUUAA